rnacentral:rRNA from 1 species
CACGUAGGCGGCUAGGUCCGUCCGAUGUGAAAGCCCCCAGCUCAACCGGGGAAUUGCAUCGGAUACAGCCUGGCUCGAGGACGGUUGGGGUGAGUGGAACUCCUGGUGGAGCGGUGAAAUGCGUAGAUAUCAGGAGGAACACCGGUGGCGAAAGCGGCUCACUGGACCGUUUCUGACGCUGAGGUGCGAAAGCUAGGGGAGCAAACG